UACAGAGGGUGCGAGCGUUAAUCGGAAUUACUGGGCGUAAAGCGCACGUAGGUGGCGACGUAAGUCGGGUGUGAAAGCCCCGGGCUCAACCUGGGAAUUGCAUUCGAGACUGCAUUGCUGGAGUACGGAAGAGGAAGGCGGAAUUCCCGGUGUAGCGGUGAAAUGCGUAGAUAUCGGGAGGAACAGCAGUGGCGAAGGCGGCAUGAUGGGCCAGUACUGACGCUGAAGUGCGAAAGCGUGGGGAGCAAACAGG
rnacentral:rRNA from 1 species